UACGUAGGGGGCAAGCGUUGUCCGGAAUCACUGGGCGUGAAAGGGCAGGCGUAGGCGGUUGGGGAAGUCCGUGGUGAAAGCUCGUGGCUCAACUACGAGUCGGCCAUGGAUACUCCUUGACUUGAGCACUGGUAGAGGCAGAUGGAAUUCCGGGUGUAGCGGUGGAAAUGCGUAGAGAUCCGGAAAGAACACCGGUGGCGA
rnacentral:rRNA from 1 species